rnacentral:rRNA from 1 species
ACUCCUGCGGGAGGCAGCAGUGGGGAAUAUUGCACAAUGGGCGCAAGCCUGAUGCAGCCAUGCCGCGUGUAUGAAGAAGGCCUUCGGGUUGUAAAGUACUUUCAGCGGGGAGGAAGGCAAUACGGUUAAUAACCGUGUUGAUUGACGUUACCCGCAGAAGAAGCACCGGCUAACUCCGUGCCAGCAGCCGCGGUAAUACGGAGGGUGCAAGCGUUAAUCGGAAUUACUGGGCGUAAAGCGCACGCAGGCGGUCUGUCAAGUCGGAUGUGAAAUCCCCGGGCUCAACCUGGGAACUGCAUUCGAAACUGGCAGGCUUGAGUCUUGUAGAGGGGGGUAGAAUUCCAGGUGUAGCGGUGAAAUGCGUAGAGAUCUGGAGGAAUACCGGUGGCGAAGGCGGCCCCCUGGACAAAGACUGACGCUCAGGUGCGAAAGCGUGGGGAGCAAACAGGAUUAGAAACCCUAGUAGUCCCA